GACGGGUGAGUAACACGUCGGGUAACUGCCCGGAAGUGGGGAAUACCUCGGGGAAACUCGAGCUAAUACCGCAUGACAUCUUUGGGACGAGAGUCCUGACUGAUCAAAGCGGGGUCGCAAGAUCUCGCGCUACCGGAUGGGCCCGCGCCCGAUUAGCUAGUUGGCGAGGUAACGGCUCACCAAGGCUUCGAUCGGUAACCGGCCUGAGAGGGCGAUCGGUCACAGCGCGGAACUGAGACACGGUCCGGACUCAUACGGGGAGGCAGCAGUGGGGAAUCUUGCGCAAUGGGCGAAAGCCUGACGCAGAAACGCCGCGUGGAGGAUGAAGGCCCUUGGGUUGUAAACUCCUGUCGGCUGGGAAGAAAUCGCGCGGUGCUCAUACCAUCGCGCGUUGACUGUACCAGGCAAAGGAAGCCCCGGUUAACUCUGUGCCAGAAGCCGGGGGUAACUACAGAGGGGGCUAGGCGUUAUUCGGAAUUAUUGGGCGUAAAGGGCGCGUAAGCGGCCCUGACGGUGUUCUUCCGUGAAAUCCCUCGGUUUAACUGA
rnacentral:rRNA from 1 species